CCUACGGGUGGCAGCAGUGGGGAAUAUUGCGCAAUGGGCGAAAGCCUGACGCAGCGACGCAGCGUGAGGGAUGAAGGUCUUCGGAUCGUAAACCUCUGUUAGCAGGGAAGAACGGUCACUGUGCUAAUCAGCAGUGAAUUGACGGUACCCACAGAGGAAGCACCGGCUAACUCCGUGCCAGCAGCCGCGGUAAUACGGGGGGUGCAAGCGUUGUCCGGAAUCAUUGGGCGUAAAGAGUUCGUAGGUGGCACGUUAAGUCUGGUGUUAAAGGGGGAAGCUCAACUUCCGUAGGGCACUGGAUACUGGCGGGCUUGAGUGCGGUAGAGGUGAGGGGAAUUCCUGGUGUAGCGGUGAAAUGCGUAGAUAUCAGGAGGAACAUCGGUGGCGUAGGCGCUUUACUGGGCCGUAAUUGACACUGAGGAACGAAAGCCGGGGUAGCAAAUAGGAUUAGAUACCCCUGUAGUC
rnacentral:rRNA from 1 species